AACGAACGCUGGCGGCGCGCCUAAUACAUGCAAGUCGAGCGAGAAGACGUAGCAAUACGUUUGUAAAGCGGCGAACGGGUGAGGAAUACAUGGGUAACCUACCCUCGAGUGGGGAAGUAACUAGCCGAAGGUUAGCUAAUACCGCGUACGCUCCUUGGACUUCGGUUCAUGGAGGAAAGCGAUACCGUGGGUAUCGCGCUCUUGGAUGGGCUCAUGUCCUAUCAGCUUGNGGUGAGGUAACGGCUCACCAAGGCUUCAACGGGUAGCUGGUCUGAGAGGACGAUCAGCCACAUGGCACUGCGACACGGGCCAGACUCCUACGGGAGGCAGCAGUAAGGAAUAUUGCGCAAUGGGCGAAAGCCUGACGCAGCGACG
rnacentral:rRNA from 1 species